UGCCAAUCAACGUCCCAGGAACCAACUACAGCAAAGGGCUCCAGGCAAGGAAGAAGCUCGUGGCAAUGCUGCGGCAGAUGAUCGCUGACCGGAGGUCCUCUGGCUGCACCCGAGACGACAUGCUGGACGCGCUGCUCAGCGGCAACGAGGGUACCAGGGCGAAGCUCAGCGACGACCAAAUCAUCGACCUUCUCAUCACCCUCAUAUACUCUGGGUACGAGACUGUGUCGACCACCUCGAUGAUGGCGGUGAAGUACCUGUCCGACAACCCCAAAGCUCUCGGACAGAUAAGGGUACACAUAACUUCUGCAACCGAGCUCAAUUCCACAGC